UGGGCUGUUUAUGGAUGUCAACACACCAUGGAGGAACGUUGACUAUGUGUUGUUCCCAAUUCAUAUGUCAUCACCGGACCAUUGGUUGUUGUUGUCUUUUGAUGUGCAUCGUAGGUGUCUAACUAUUUACAAUUCUCUACAACCAAAAAGGAAAUCCAUGCAAACUAAAAUAUUUGAUGUUUAUGAGCCGUACAUCUUCAUUCUUCCCAUACUACUGCGCAAGUCUGGUUUUUGAAAGGAUAGGUCUGACAUUGACUUCAGCAGUGACCCGUAUCGCAACAAGGACGAAGACGAUAUAAUUGAGUUGGAAUUUGCUGAGACGGUUCCUGAACAAGUAGAGGGGUAACGGUUAAAUUGUGUACAUUUUUUUAAUUAUUACAUAUAGGUUGAUUUUAUUUUUGAUUUUUGUUAUAUAUUGUUUGUUGUUACAGUGAUUGUGGGAUGUUCACAAUUUAUU
rnacentral:lncRNA from 1 species